rnacentral:sRNA from 1 species
GUGAUUAUAGAUGCUGUGCUGAUGAUUUGUUACUUGAACUAACUGAUUGGAGUUCUAUCUUUUUCUGAGCUUAUAGGCAGCCUUGAUUGUGGCUCCUCGUAUUUGUGCAUCAUAAAUUAGGUCAACAACCACUGGCGGAUUUCCUGCAUUUCUGGCAUUCUCAACAUGCCGGUGCGAAAAGAAGAUGCCCACCGAGCGCUGGAGCUCCUGGAGGAUUACCACACACGACUCACCAAACCCCAGGACCGGCCGCUCAAGACUGCCAUCGAGAGAGUCAUUCGGAUCUUUAAGAGUCGCCUCUUCCAGGCCCUGCUACGCCCCGCACGCACAGAGGAAGAGCUCCCUCCCCCGCCCCCCGAGUUGUCCAGCUCACGGUCUGUGUCGUCACCUGUACCUGAGGAGAAGUCUCCGACAGUCACCGUGCACAGUGUGAGCAGGGCGGGCCUGGACAAGAAACUACCCGCACCGGUGGUUGUCU